UACGUAGGGUCCGAGCGUUGUCCGGAAUUAUUGGGCGUAAAGGGCUCGUAGGCGGUUCGUCACGUCGGGAGUGAAAACUCGGAGCUUAACUCCGAGCCUGCUUCCGAUACGGGCAGACUAGAGGUAGGCAGGGGAGGGCGGAACUCCUGGUGUAGCGGUGGAAUGCGCAGAUAUCAGGAGGAACACCGGUGGCGAAGGCGGGUCUCUGGGCAGUAACUGACGCUGAGGAGCGAAAGCGUGGGGAGCGAACAGG
rnacentral:rRNA from 1 species